GUUAAAUAUUAAACCAUAAAAAAAGUCUCAACAAAUAUAGAAAGAUUGAAGUCAUAACAUGCAACUUUUCUGACCACAGUGCUAUGGAACUAGAAAUAAACCACCAGAAAAAAAUUUGGAAAAAUCACAUAUAUA